CCUACGGGAGGCAGCAGUGGGGACUAUUGGGCCAUGGGCGCAAGCCUGACCCAGCAAAGCCGCGUGAAGGAAGACGGCUUUAGGGUUGUAAAACUCUUUUUAGAGGGAAGAGAAGAAGACGGUAACUCUUGAAUAAGACACGGCCAACUAAGUGGCAGCAGCCGCGGUAAUACGUGGGUGGCAAGCGUUAUCCGGAUUUACUGGGUGUAAAGGGCGUGUAGCCGGGCUGACAAGUCCGAGGGGAAAUUCCGGGGCUCAACCCCGGACAAGCAUUUGAAACUGUUUGUCGUGAGUAUCGGAGAGGCAGGCGGAAUGCCUAGUGUAGCGGUGAAAUGCGUAGAUAUUAGGAGGAACACCAGUUGCGAAGGCGGCCUGCUGGACGACAACUGACGGUGAGGCGCGAAAGCGUGGGGAGCAAACAGGAUUAGAUACCCUGGUAGUC
rnacentral:rRNA from 1 species